AACCCCUAUCUACUGGGCAAGGCCAUGUCUGUUAGUGACUGAGUCCUAUAUCAGUUAGGGGCAGAGGAAGUGAGCCAUGUUCAUCCCAGGCACCUCUGUGUAGUGAGCAGUAGUCUGGUUCAUGCUAUGGGCACAAGA
ensembl:snoRNA